GCCAAAGCCAGCCGCUUCACCCACUGAGCCACACAGGCACCCAGGUAAAUCUUGGGAGAGAAUACAGGUGACUACCAAGUAACAAGAAGGUCCUGGUUUUGAAGGUUAAUCACACGGCUACCAUAUGACUAAUGCACAUGUCAGUACCAUGCAGCCACAGUCAAGAGCAAAGAGCCUGAGCUCCUCAUUCGUCAAGUGGAGAGAAUCUGCCACAGAGAGCCGUCCUGAGGGGUAUGGAGCUCUCAUAGGACACAGCUCUGCCUGGCACCGAGUUAGCCUCCAAAACUGAGCUGUUAGGAUUUCUUUGUAAAUAUUUCAACACAAAAAUGUUAAAAGAAAAAGCAUA